UACGUAGGGGGCAAGCGUUGUCCGGAUUUAUUGGGCGUAAAGAGCGUGUAGGCGGCCAGGUAGGUCCGUUGUGAAAACUCGAGGCUCAACCUCGAGACGCCGAUGGAAACCAUCUGGCUAGAGUCCGGAAGAGGAGAGUGGAAUUCCUGGUGUAGCGGUGAAAUGCGCAGAUAUCAGGAAGAACACCCGUGGCUAAGGCGGCUCUCUAGUACGGUACUGACGCUGAGACGCGAAAGCGUGGGGAGCGAACAGG
rnacentral:rRNA from 1 species